AAUUAUAUAGUCAAUAUAUGAUAUUGAAUUGCAAAUUCAAAGGUGAAUAAUUUCUGUAAUUU
rnacentral:tRNA from 1 species